GCGUGAUUUAAACCGGUUUGGACGGACCGCAGCGGACCGGGAUAAAAGAAGGCCUAGGGCUCGGGCUGCAUUCGCUGUAUUGGGCCGGCUUCAGUACGGAAGGAGAAGAGCGAAGGAAGCGACGAGCAUUUGGUUGGAGACUAGGAUUUUGAGCUUGGGAUUAAGAAUGGUAUGAAGUACUUUUCUACAGUUCGGAAAUGUAAUUAGGUUGGAGAUUAGGAUUUAGCACUGCUGACACUUUCUUGAGCUCUGAUAUUGUUGAGUUUAUUGCGGUGAAUUCCAAGAGUUCUGCUUAUCUUCUAUAUUUUUCAACAUAUUGGUUGCUCUUUCAUAAGGUUCUUCUCCUCCUUCCUUGGUGCUCACCACAGCCAAGGCACAACAUGCACAUAGUAAUGCGAGUAUAAAUGCAUCUGAGUAGAAGGUCUUUGCUUACUA